rnacentral:rRNA from 1 species
UGCCAGCCGCCGCGGUAAUACAUAGGGGGCAAGCGUUAUCCGGAAUUACUGGGUGUAAAGGGUGCGUAGGCGGCAAUAUAAGUCAGGUGUGAAAACCCGGGGCUCAACUCCUGGAAUGCACUUGAAACUAUAUAGCUAGAGUACAGGAGAGGUAAGCGGAAUUCCUAGUGUAGCGGUGAAAUGCGUAGAUAUUAGGAAGAACACCAGUGGCGAAGGCGGCUUACUGGACUGAAACUGACGCUGAGGCACGAAAGCGUGGGGAGCGAACAGGAUUAGAUA